rnacentral:rRNA from 1 species
GACGAACGCUGGCGGCGUGCUUAACACAUGCAAGUCGAACGAAGUGGCGAACGGGUGAGUAACGCGUAAUCAACCUGCUCUUCAGAGGGGGACAACAGUUGGAAACGACUGCUACUACCGCAUACUGAAGGAGGGGAUGGCGUCUGAUUAGCUGGUUGGAGGGGUAACGGCCCACCAAGGCGAAGAUCAGUAGCCGGUCGGAGAGGAGGAACGGCCACAUCGGGACUGAGACACGGCCCAGACUCCGACGGGAGGCAGCAGUGGGGAAUCUUCCGCAAUGGACGAAAGUCUGACGGGGCAACGCCGCGUUAGUGAUGACGGCCUUCGGGUUGGAAAGCUCUGUUAAUCGGGACGCGGUACCGGAAUAGAAAGCCACGGCUAACUACGUGCCAGCAGCCGCGGUAAUUC